GACGAACGCUGGCGGCGUGCUUAACACAUGCAAGUCGGACGGAAAGGCCCUGCUUUUGUGGGGUGCUCGAGUGGCGAACGGGUGAGUAACACGUGAGUAACCUGCCCUUGACUUUGGGAUAACUUCAGGAAACUGGGGCUAAUACCGGAUAGGAGCUCCUGCUGCAUGGUGGGGGUUGGAAAGUUUCGGCGGUUGGGGAUGGACUCGCGGCUUAUCAGCUUGUUGGUGGGGUAGUGGCUUACCAAGGUUUUGACGGGUAGCCGGCCUGAGAGGGUGACCGGCCACAUUGGGACUGAGAUACGGCCCAGACUCCUACGGGAGGCAGCAGUGGGGAAUAUUGCACAAUGGGCGGAAGCCUGAUGCAGCAACGCCGCGUGCGGGAUGACGGCCUUCGGGUUGUAAACCGCUUUCGCCUGUGACGAAGCGUGAGUGACGGUAAUGGGUAAAGAAGCACCGGCUAACUACGUG
rnacentral:rRNA from 1 species